rnacentral:rRNA from 1 species
CCUACGGGAGACAGCAGUAGGGAAUUUUCGGCAAUGGGGGGAACCCUGACCGAGCAACGCCGCGUGAACGAAGAAGUUAUUCGUAAUGUAAAGUUCUUUUAACAGGGAAGAAAGAGAAAUUUGACGGUACCUGAAGAAUAAGCUCCGGCAAACUACGUGCCAGCAGCCGCGGUAAUACGUAGGGAGCGAGCGUUAUCCGGAAUUAUUGGGCGAAAAGGGUGCGUAGAUGGCAUAGUAAGUCUUUUGUAAAAAUGCUGGGCUAAACCCAGUAGGGCAAAAGAUACUGCAAAGCUAGAGUAUGACAGAGGCAAGUGGAACUACAUGUGUAGCGGUAAAAUGCGUAAAUAUAUGUAAGAACACCAGUGGCGAAGGCGGCUUGCUGGGUCGAUACUGACAUUGAGGCACGAAAGCGUGGGGAGCAAACAGGAUUAGAUACCCCGGUAGUC